rnacentral:rRNA from 1 species
CCUACGGGAGGCUGCAGUGAGGAAUAUUGGUCAAUGGGCGGGAGCCUGAACCAGCCAAGUCGCGUGAGGGAAGAAGGUACUGAGUAUUGUAAACCUCUUUUGCCAGGGGACAAAGGCGGCCACGUGUGCCCUUACGAGGGUACCUGGCGAAAAAGCAUCGGCUAACUCCGUGCCAGCAGCCGCGGUAAUACGGAGGAUGCGAGCGUUAUCCGGAUUUAUUGGGGUUAAGGGGUGCGCAGGGGGCGGGUCAAGUCAGCGGUAAAAUGUCGGGGCUCAACCCCGGCCGGCCGGUGAAACUGGAGUGCUAGAGUUGGAGAGAAGUAUGCGGAAUUCGUGGUGUAGCGGUGAAAUGCAUAGAUAGCACGAAGAACCCCGAUUGCGAAGGCAGCAUACCGGCUCCAAACUGACGCUGAGGCACGAAAGCGUGGGUAUCGAACAGGAUUAGAUACCCCUGUAGUC